GUGAAAGUCCUGUCCCACAAAAAAGAAGGAAACAAGGCAGAGAGGUGGAGGACAAUGAAUGGUCUGAACUUCACUCCCCCCCAAAAAGAGCUGACACCGGCAGUGAGGAGGGGACCUCAGAUAAAGAUGAUCAGAGCUCAGACACGAGCCUCCCUGAGGAGAUCUCAGACAAGAAGAAAAGGGGGAAAAGAAGGCACUGAAAGAAAAGAAUGACCUCGAAAAGGCCCAGACAGAGGACACCAAGACAAGAUACCGCUUCUUUGGGUACUUGGCGGCCUACCUACUCUGCAUCUACGGGCACAGGACCGAGGUUCAUAGUCGAAUCAGAGUCCUCCAAAUCAAAUAGUUAAAUCCCUGACUGUUCCAGGUCACCCCUACAAGUAACGGCUUGAAAUUGUGUGUAAAUAUAUAUAUAUAUUUGUGUGUGUAUA